rnacentral:rRNA from 1 species
UUCCGUAGGUAACCUGCGGAGGGAUCAUUACACAAAUAUGAAGGCGGGCUGGAAUCUCUCGGGGUUACAGCCUUGCUGAAUUAUUCACCCUUGUCUUUUGCGUACUUCUUGUUUCCUUGGUGGGUUCGCCCACCACUAGGACAAACAUAAACCUUUUGUAAUUGCAAUCAGCGUCAGUAACAAAUUAAUAAUUACAACUUUCAACAACGGAUCUCUUGGUUCUGGCAUCGAUGAAGAACGCAGCGAAAUGCGAUAAGUAGUGUGAAUUGCAGAAUUCAGUGAAUCAUCGAAUCUUUGAACGCACAUUGCGCCCUUUGGUAUUCCAAAGGGCAUGCCUGUUCGAGCGUCAUUUGUACCCUCAAGCUUUGCUUGGUGUUGGGCGUCUUGUCUCUAGCUUUGCUGGAGACUCGCCUUAAAGUAAUUGGCAGCCGGCCUACUGGUUUCGGAGCGCAGCACAAGUCGCACUCUCUAUCAGCAAAGGUCUAGCAUCCAUUAAGCCUUUUUUCAACUUUUGACCUCGGAUCAGGUAGGGAUACCCGCUGAACUUAAGAAUAUCAAUAAGCGGAGGAA